rnacentral:misc_RNA from 1 species
AACGCACCUUGCGCUCUUUGGUAUUCCGAAGAGCAUGCCUGUUUGAGUGUCAUGAAAAUAUCAACCUUGACUUGGGUUUUGUGCUCUAUUCUCGGCUUGGAAUUGGGUGCUUGCCGCUUUUACGAGCGGCUCACCUUAAAUGUAUUAGCUGGAUCUGUCUUUGAGACUUGGUUUGACUUGGCGUAAUAAGUAUUUCGCUAAGGACAUUCUUCGGAGUGGCCUCGUUUCUAGGACGCUUGUCCGCUUUCCAAUACAAGUUCCACCUUGUGGACAUGACUUUUUAUUAUCUGGCCUCAAAUCAGGUAGGACUACCCGCUGAACUUAA